GAGCUCGAGCGCGCACGCUCCCGCUAGGUGGACCAAUUGCGCAAGACCGCGUGGGUGGGCCUCUUGAGCGGACCGUAUACAGUCUUACUGUCGAUACAUAGGGCCAGAUCGCGUACGUUGCGCAGUAACGGACGGAGAGUGAAAAUGUACCAUCGGUACAUUUGAAGGAUCACGGUACGUGACUUACUCGGACAAUAGUUCUGUCGAGAAAACAGUGUAGACAUAGUAGUGGAAAAAAUAAAUGCGUUUGCAGCCCCAGCAGAAGCCAAGAUCCCACCCCGCUCCCUCAUUAUGAGUGCUCUGCGGUGCCAUCAGUAGAGAGCAGAGUCCAUGGCGGCGGCGGAAGAGAACGGCAAUGGGCUGGAGUUCCUAACAGAUCCUGUCGACAGGUCUUCUCACAGGUUCCCCUGGCCGGAUCUUGAAACCAAGGAUUUAACUCCGGCCGGUGAGGCAGGUACAUGCCUCACAUAGUCGGCUGCUGAAUCAAGCAUGGGAGAUGUUGGCGAUGACCCACUGUCAAUCCAAUUGGCCGUCAAUAACGGCUGCGAAGCACUAAGCUUGUCGGCGGCCGAUUCGCAGCAAUCAACAAGAAAAGAUGACCCUCAAGCCCCCGGUUGGACUAGAAGGUACCCUCGCUUGGUUUCGAUCCUGCUUAACUUAACAUAUUCAUGUAAGCCAUAUUUGAUAAAAAAAGAACUCUGAAGCACAAGGUGUAUUUGCAUACUGCUCGCUUGUCAGCUCUGAAUUCUUCAGAUUUGCAUACUGCUCGUGUGUCAGCACUGAAUUCUUCAGCAAAAACCAAAAAAGUAUAUAAAAAACAUCAAUUCAUAGUUGUCCAUGCUCAUAUCUGAAUGUAUUACGGUUAUAUAUGUCUGAAAAAUUUAUAUCUCCAGAUGUACAUCUCUGCUUUACAUUUUGGUCGCUUAUCAAGCCUGAUGUCUUUUACAGUCGGCUGCAUUUCAUUCUUAAUAAUUUUAGAAAUCUGAAAGUAAACCUGCACCUCCAUGUUGCUUGUGUAUGAACAAUGAAAUCCUGAUGAGAAAAUGAGCAAAACGUAAGUUUGUCUUGGAUCGUCAUAAACACUGAAAACAGUGUGGUAAGCCAUGUCUGAAUGAUUGAAAUCUUUAAGAUUAAAGCAGUGCUACUAUAUUGGUUGCUUGUGAGCAUUGCAUUCUUCAGUACAAAUCAGGCACCCAUUUUCAGUCAAGUAAUGAUCCGUUAAAUAAUGAGCGCACACCAUGCGCUGGAAGAGUAUGUGCCCUUGGAAAAACCUUAAGAGGGUACGCGGAGAAGAAAACAGAUAUCAUCGUGGUACCAACUGUUGGAUACAAUUUUGAUUCAUUGGGAGAAGCAUAUGACUCCUAUAAUCUAUAUUCGUGGGAGAUUGGCUUUGUGAUAAGAUAUGGAAAAAGUAGGCUUAACGUCAAGACUCGGGAGAACCAAAUGUAUGCAAGAAAUAGUCUGUGGAUGCUCGGGCAAACCAAAAAAAGGAAACGCACGGAUAUGCCGCUGCGAGUGCCCUGCAACGAACACGGUUCCGCACUAUAUGCCGUGGCCCUGGUCACAAAAGCACAACUUGUCCACAGAGAGGGGACACGCCUCAAAAGAAAAAGAGAGAACCGAAAUGCUCGAUCUGCGGGGUGGGAGGUCGUCGGAAGAACACCUACAGCAAUCCUAAGAUUGUGGUACAUGUUGCCGAGCAAACAACUCAUGAUCCUGCUAUCGAUCAGUGAUAAAUCUAUGCAAGCACGAAAGCAUGUCAAGUAGCACCCAGUUUGUUACUGUAUUCUGGUUGAUCAAUGCCACUUUCCUGAAGGUGUAUUGUGUAUUAUCAGCUUAGUAAUCUGUACUUGUCUCAACCAUGGCAACCCAUGAUGCGUGUAUGCAAGCAUCGCAAGUGCAUCUAAUUUUUUA